CUGUUCACGAAAUACAUACACAUAAAUUGGAACAAUACAGAGAAGAUUAGCAUGGCCCUCGCGGGUGACGACUCGAAGAGUCGUGAAGUUUUUCAAAAUUUA